GACCACGUAGCUCAGUUGGCGGAGCAUUGGGCUGAUAUUCCAAAGGUCGUAGGUUCGAUUCCCACGUACCGUGGCCA